rnacentral:tRNA from 1 species
GAAGGUAUAGCUCAGUGGUAGAGUGUGUGCUUAGCAUGCAUGAGGUCCUGGGUUCAAUCCCCAGUACUGCCA